rnacentral:ncRNA from 2 species
AUAUUUUAAAUGGGGUGCCAACUGAAGGGCUGAGAUUAUACCCAAAUAACCUGAUCUAGGUAAUGCUAGCGUAGGAAUUGUGAAAACCAAUCGA